GUCUUGGUAGCUUAAUAUACGAAAGCGUCGGCCUUGUAAGUCGAAGACCGGAGGUGUGAACCCUCCCCUAAACA
rnacentral:tRNA from 1 species